GACGUAGGUGGCGAACGUUAUCCGGAAUUAUUGGGCGUAAAGGAUGCGUAGGUGGUCUGAUAAGUUAUUAGUGGGAAAUCGAGGCUCAACCUCGUGGAAGUUAGUAAUACUAUCAGACUUGAGGAUAGGAGAGGUUAACAGAACUCCCGGUGGAGCGGUAAAAUGCGUAGAUAUCGGGAAGAAUACCAAAGGCGAAGGCAGUUAACUAUUCUACUCCUGACAUUGAGGCAUGAAAGCGUGGGGAGCAAAACGG
rnacentral:rRNA from 1 species